AGCUUAGUGCAGUGGCAGUAUCAUAGCCAAUGAGGUUUAUCCGAGGCAUGAUUAUUGCUAAUUAAAAUAUUAGCUUUAACAA
rnacentral:snRNA from 1 species